AUUAAAAUUAAAAAAAAUGCUUUUCACUCAUACAGGCUACUAGUAGAGCAAAUUGAUACUGAGUAGAAAAAAACCCCCUUUAAUUCUCAAUUUCUCACACAACAAAACCUAAAUUUUUAUAAUCUGCUAUCAUCCUCAUACGAUCGAAUCUUCGAAACCGCUAGAAAUUUUGUUAAUUUGGCUUGCAAUUGUUGGAUUUCGUUCUUCCCCGUAGCGAUUUUGUCCUUUUUUGGUUUCCGAACAGUGCAGAAGAUACGAACGAUCAUAAUCAGGAGGUUUAGAGUUUAAGUGAUUAUUCAUCAGUAUUUACUUGAUGAUCAUAUGAGGUUUGUUCUCCCCUCGACCCCCCUCCCAAAAAAAAAAAAAAAAAUUGAUUGUAUUUGUUUUUGAUGUUGGGUUUUGUAAUUUGUAAGGUAUAAAUUGUAGUGUUUUGAUCUUAUAAUCUAGAUUAAUGUAUGUUUAUAUCAAUAAAGAUUAUAAUUUUAACUUGACUUGGUAUAUAUUGUCGUGUUUUUUUAUUUCUAUUUCUUAAAAAGCUAGCUAUUGGUACUGUAUUGUUUCUAAAUUUUAAAGUAGUUGAGCAUCUGUCAAGUUGCAUGUUACUAAACUAGUUCAUCUGAAUGACUAAUCCUCCCUUGCUAAGAUAUAUUUUAAUGUGAUGAUAUUGUAUAAAAUAUAUAAGUUAUUAUUGUACAUUUGUACAACUACAAGCUUGAGUAUUUGCCUAAGUUAGUAGAUUAAGAUAUUUUCUUCUAUCUUUACUAGGAUAAACUAUUGUUGGCCAUCCUUGAUGUCUUGUAAAAUCAUAUCCUAUAAGAGUGUGCAGACUAUGCCAAAUAUGAAAUUAAAGUCACAUUGUUGUUAUUGUGGUUGCUAGGUGAAAGGGGAGGAGCUUGUCAAAAAAUAGUUCGUGAAUUAAUUAGCGGAGCUUGUGGCAUUUAAUUUGCUGCAUCAUGAGCAAAAACUUAUUAAUUUGAAAAGCCACGACAACCACAUCCUUAUGCAAGAUAUCCUUCUGGUUGCUUUAAGAGCAACGAAUGCCACAAAAGUUAUUGACUUGCUUGAGGAGUUGUCAUACUUUUUCAAGAAGAUUUGUUCACCUGCUGUUGAUAGUAAAGAAUUAGAUUCCAUUCAGACGGAGCUUGUGUUAACUCUGUGCAAAAUGGAAAAAGAGUUUCUACCAACUUUUUUCACCAUCAUGGUUCAUUUGCUUAUUCAUUUGGUGGAUGAGGUUAAACUCGGCUGAGUCGUUCAUUACAGAUGGAUGUAUCCCAUUGAAAGGUGAAUACAUAUAUCUUAAUCUUCACCCUUAUAAAAGGAUAUUUUACAUGUCUCAGUCAUCUUUUUAUAGUAUACACUAACAUACAUAUUCUUUGUUAUAUUCUAAGAUAUUUGGCCUUUCUGAAAUUGCAUGUAAGUAUUAAAGCACAACCUGAAAGAUCUAUAGAAGAAGGGUUCCUUUUAUGGGAGACAAUUACAUUUUGCUCAAGAUAUUUAGAAAGUAUUGAGACGGUGUUCAGUAUACCAAAAAGUAAUGAGGAUGGUGUUCCAAAUAUUAAUAACUAUAUAUACAAUUCCGGUGGUCGUGUAAUUAGAAAGAAAGAAAAUGUACACCUUGAUGACAGAAGUUUAAUGCAAGCACAUCGCUACAUAUUGCUGCAUUCAGAUGAAAUGAAACCAGUUCUUGAUGAGUUCAUACAACAAAAACGACAACAAGAGAAUCAAGUCGGAAGAAGUCAAUCGAAUGAAUACAUCAAAAGCCAGUGGAUAAUCAAAGAAUUCGCCGAUUGGUUGAAAAAUCAGGAGAUGACUUAUCGAAAGAAGAGAGAGAGAGUUGCAUCUACUGCACCCCCUACAUCUAUGAGUGAAGAUGCAUCACAACCAACAAAAAAGUAUGCUACUGAGAAAAUGUCCCAAGUUCCCACGACUAUUAAAUGGGGGCCAUUUUCUCCACCAACUAACACUACAUCAAAGGUUGUGGCUCCUUGUCUUAAAACAUUAAAGAGUGCCCAACAACCUCCUAAUGAAAACAAAGUUGGACCUGUAUGGAAAAAUCCACCAACUGGUUCAUCAGCAAGCUCACUAAAGGCACGAACAACCUCACUAAAGGCACCAUCAUUUGCAACCAGCUCACGUAAGGCACUAGAGGCAUUACCACUCAAAGUACCAUCAUCAUCCAACUCACCAGCUUCAAGUUCACAUAAGGUACCUAAUUUACCAUCAAGUUAUGAAGGAAAAAAAGUCAUCCACUCUUUCAUCCAUUAUCUCACCUAACAUCCCAUAUUCUAUAGCUUCAAAACCUUUAACAUACCCGUCUAAUUCUUCUCCUCAUUCUGACCAGCCCCUUAAAUACCAUGUUACUAACUCAAAGCCUUCUACUUUUCCUCCUAAUUCUGAGCAGCCCCUUAAAUACCCUGCUACUAAGUCAAACCCUUCUACUUCUUAUCCUAAUUCUGAGCAGCCCCUUGAAUACCCUGUUACCAAUUCAAACCCUUCUACGUCUUCUCCUAAUUCUAACCAGCCCCUUAAAUACCCUGCUACUAACUCAAACCCUUCUACUUCUCCUAAUUCUAACCAGCCCCUUAAAUACCCUGCUGCUAACUCAAACUCACAUAAUUUACGUGAGAAAAGAGAAGAACAACCUGAUGUUGGUUAUAAUGAAGCAUUAGAAAAAGGCUUAAAACCAUUCAAAUAUCUGCGGUCAAAGUCUCAUCUUGAUUGGCCUAUGUUUAUAGAUUUUGAUGACAAGGAAGAGUUUAUGACAAUAGAUGCAAAUGGUCAUAUUGUACUGUUGAGUGGUUAUAUUAAGCCAAUUGAUGUCUGGAGUAAUAAUGGUGUCAGAUUCUAUGUUCAAUUUAUUGAUUUAUACCAACCCAUUCAGAAAGGUGGACAUAUUUUGAUCCGAUUCCUUGGUAGUAUUGCAAAGAUAGAGACAUAUUGUCCGGUAGGAGAGUUGUAUUGGCAUGCUCUUGAUGAGCAUUUUAAAAAGAAGAUAAUCACAGAGAUAAGAGAUCGCUUUAUAAUUCCAGAAGGUGAACUAUAUAACAAAGCAGCCCUCAAGAAUUUCAAUAAAAGUUGGAGGCAAUAAAAAUUCACUCUUAAGAGGGAUCACUACAAACCAGAAGAAAAAAGUUUAGAAGAGAUGUGUAACGCUGUACCACCGCAUAGGAUUAGUAGUCAAAAUUAGGUAAAGCUCUUAAGUAUUGGGAUAUAGAGACAGGAAAAACACUAGCAACAUGUGAAAAAGCAGCACGAGCCAACCUAAAUCAAUUACAUAGAUUUGGUUGUAAAAGUUUUACGAACCGACAAGCCGAUUAUGAAGAUGAGCAUAGAGAAAAAAUGAGCUUAUUAGCUCUCUGGAUACAAGAACAUACAGGAAAGGAUGGAAGCUUUCUUCCGGGCACAGUCACUGAAGAUUUUGUGGAUGAUGCAAAAGCCAAGGUUGAAGAGUUGAGGAUAUUAUACCCUUCUAAGUCUCAACAGGAACUCGAAGAUGAAGCCUUUGAACAGACCAUGCAUGGUGGAGAAAUCCCUGAUCGUUCUACAGGUUACGGACUUGGGGUUCGAAAGAAUGACAUUUAUGGGGUGCAUGCUUUGCUAAGGAAGGAUGGGUCUUGAAAAAUUCGACAAAGGACUGUAGUAAUGGAUAAUAAUGUAAAAGAAGUGUCUGCUCUGCAACAAAAAAAUGAAGUACUUGAGAAGGAAAAUGAAAAGCUAAAAGACCAAGUACAAGAGAAUAACAAUCUUCUUAAAACACUUAUUGGACAAUUCUCUCAAGUUGUCGGUGCAGUUUGUGAAGGAAAGAGUUUAACAGGACUUAUGGAUUGUGCUAAAUCAAUCUUGGGAGUGGAAAACCAACAGGCCCUGUGACUGGCUUUGCUGUAUCGUCUCCAUCUGGGUUUGCUCCAAAUGCAUCGUCAACAAUGACAACAUUUUUAUAGGGUGUUAAAUCAUCAGGUUUUGGAUGCAGCGCUACAGGAAAGCAAAGCUAAGGAAUCUUGAGCUACGUACUUGAAACUAGCCUACUACAGUACUACCUACGCAUUGAUGCAUCCUAUGUAGUUAAUUAGAUCAUUCCUAGCUAGCUAGUUAUAGCUUUUAAUUUCAAAGCUUCGAUCUAAGGGUUUUUUUAGCUGCUAUAUUGUACAUUGUUAUUUAGAUGAUAUAUUUUGAAAGUUCGGAUUGUUAGGAUGGUAAUUUUAUUUUUUAUUUUUUUGACAAGAUUGUUAGGAUCGGAUGAUGGUAUUUUGGAUAAAGUUAUGUAGCUAGUAUUUUUGUUUGAUUUUAACUUUAAUUAAUAUAAA